rnacentral:rRNA from 1 species
CCUACGGGAGGCAGCAGUGAGGAAUAUUGGUCAAUGGACGCAAGUCUGAACCAGCCAUGCCGCGUGCAGGAAGACGGCUCUAUGAGUUGUAAACUGCUUUUGUACGAGGGUAAACACAGAUACGCGUAUCUGUCUGAGAGUAUCGUACGAAUAAGGAUCGGCUAACUCCGUGCCAGCAGCCGCGGUAAUACGGAGGAUGCAAGCGUUAUCCGGAUUUAUUGGGUUUAAAGGGUGCGUAGGCGGUCGGAUAAGUUAGAGGUGAAAUCCCGGGGCUCAACUUCGGAAUUGCCUCUGAUACUGGUCGUCUAGAGAGUAGUUGAGGUAGGCGGAAUGUGUGGUGUAGCGGUGAAAUGCUUAGAGAUCAUACAGAACACCGAUUGCGAAGGCAGCUUACCAGGCUACUUCUGACGUUGAGGCACGAAAGCGUGGGGAGCAAACAGGAUUAGAUACCCCUGUAGUC